AGGGGAGUUGGACUUCUACAUACCCAACAAAAGAAAAAUAGUUCCUCAAGUUCUUGAUGAAGUUGGGACACUAACUUCAUCAGUUAAAAUGUUCUCGGCAUUGGGUUAUGCCUUGAUAAUGUUAGGGGGGUAGAUGCGCAAGCAGACCUCCAGGUUUCCUGGGGGGUGGGGAGCGGCAUAUAGCUAAGAAGUUGGCAGAGGUAAAAAAGCAUAAAACAUCGUAGUGAUGUUCACUCACCAUUCUCAUCUAUAAUCGCACUGACAAUUUGAUCAAGCAUAACUAUGUUCUAAAGUAUAGCAAAGUUUGCUCCAAACAUCUUUUAAAAUUCGAGAAUUCUACAGUAGGUCAACUUUUGUUCCGUUCUAAAGAGCUACUUAAUUAUACAUAGGAGAAUCAAAAGCUUUUACAUACAUUUAAUAAGAAAGGGGAUGCCAACUAUGAUUUUGACUAUUUAUGAGACAUGGGAAAACACUAUGGCCUACAUGUAUAUAAAUCGUAAAAUUAAGCACGUACAAUUUCUCCUCGACGGUAUGCUACCUUGUGCACCAAAACCUGAUAACACUUCAGGAUUACGAGUCUCCAUUCUCCACUUUGUUCAGACUUCAGAUAUAGCAUCAGCAUGCAAUCUAUUAUUUAGAUAUACCAAAGAUAAUUCCAAAGUGGCUGCUUCUCCUCAAACAUCUAUGAAUCUAGAAUAGCAGGGCGUAUCCAGACAGGUUUUACAUUUGGACGGGCUCUCGUUUCAGAAGAAACUCCUUCAGAUGAGCCAUCAUAUGUGGAAGUGUUGAAGGAAACCCAAAGUCUGCCAAGUAACAAAAAACAGAAUACGAUAAUACUGACAUAACAUGUUAAGAAACAGAAGCUCAAAAAUAGCAGGUCAGUAACAAGACGAUUUUAUCAAAGAUGAGUAUGAAAUCACUUACCAAGCAAUCCUAUCGUCGAGUUUUAGAAACAUAUCCAUUUCCUGCAAUAGAGCUUACUAAUCGUAAUCGGUAAAAUAAUUCAAAUUAGUUUCAUCUACGGUUUCGUGGAUGCACUAGUAAGCUAACUUAAUCUUCUAGAGUUCGAAUUUAUAGAUACAUACACCAUAACAGUCAAUAAAAGAACAAUUUCCAGAAAUUACAUUAUCAAAAUCGUCCUAGCUUCUUCUAAAAGCAAAUCUAUGAAUCUAGAAUAGCAAGGCGUAUCCAGACAGGUUUUACAUUUGGAAGGGCUCUCGUUUCAGAAGAAACUCCUUCAGAUGAGCCAUCCGUAUGUGGAUGUGUUGAAGGAAACCCAAAGUCUGCCAAGUAACAAAAAACAGAAAAGGAUAAUACUGACAUAACAUGUUAAGAAACAGAAGCUCAAAAAUAGCAGGUCAGUAACAAGACGAUUUUAUCAAAGAUGAGUAUGAAAUCACUUACCAAGCAAUCCUAUCGUCGAGUUUUAGAAACAUAUCCAUUUCCUGCAAUAGAGCUUACUAAUCGUAAUCGGUAAAAUAAUUCAAAUUAGUUUCAUCUACGGUUUCGUGGAUGCACUAGUAAGCUAACUUAAUCUUCUAGAGUUCAAAUUUAUAGAUACAUACAUCAUAACAGUCAAUAAAAGAACAAUUUCCAGAAAUUACAUUAUCAAAAUCUUCCUAGCUUCUUCUAAAAGCAAAUUUGGAUUCAAGAUUUGGUAAUUAAAUUGAAGCAGUUAAUAAGGUUCCAAAAUCUGCACACAUCCACACAAAUAAACAACAAAUAAUCAUGGAACAGGAUAAGAAUCACUCAAAGGGUUAAUCAAUCUAGGGUUCUAAGGAAAAAACCAAUUUCACCGACUCAAAAACAAC
rnacentral:lncRNA from 1 species